rnacentral:snRNA from 1 species
AUACUUACCUGGAGGGAAGAUAUUAUGGUCAAGAAAGCAGUCUCCCUGAGCAAGACUUAUAUCCUUGCCACCUGAAAGGUACUGAGCCAAGAUUUUCUCCCAAAUGCAGGAAAGUUGACAGCAUACUUUGUGGUAGUGGGAGAUGGUAUUCAUACAAUUAUACA